rnacentral:rRNA from 1 species
GAUGAACGCUGGCGGCGUGCCUAAUACAUGCAAGUAGAACGCUGAAGCUUGGUGCUUGCACCGAGCGGAUGAGUUGCGAACGGGUGAGUAACGCGUAGGUAACCUGCCUGGUAGCGGGGGAUAACUAUUGGAAACGAUAGCUAAUACCGCAUAACAGUAGAUGUUGCAUGACAUCUGCUUGAAAGGGGCAAUUGCUCCACUACCAGAUGGACCUGCGUUGUAUUAGCUAGUUGGUGAGGUAACGGCUCACCAAGGCGACGAUACAUAGCCGACCUGAGAGGGUGAUCGGCCACACUGGGACUGAGACACGGCCCAGACUCCUACGGGAGGCAGCAGUAGGGAAUCUUCGGCAAUGGACGGAAGUCUGACCGAGCAACGCCGCGUGAGUGAAGAAAGGUUUUCGGAUCGUAAAAGCUCUGUUGUAAAGAGAAAGAAACGAAGUGUGAAGAAGUGGAAAA